GGCAGCCUGGAGCACGGGCGCCCGCUGCACCGAUGCUGGCCGCCGCCCAGGCCACAGCAGGGCUACUACCCCCGGGGAGGCCCAGGCCCAGGGCUACCCCCGCCUCCUGAACUGUACCCAUGGCUGCCACUUGAGCUCAUCUGCGGUGACGUGCCUGCCGCCACCUCAGAUCUCUACAGCUUCUGCAUCCUGGCCCAGGAGGUCUUCACCGGUCAGUGAGUGAUCCUACACCCCGCCCCACGGAGGUACCUGUACUGUUCGGUCCCCCAGUCAUGCUUCCUCACAGGAGAGCUGCCCUGGGCUGGGAGAAAGGGACCUGAGGUGAAGGCUAAAUUGGAGGCAGGUGAGAGCCCGGCCCUGGAUCCCCUGGUACCAGCCCCCUACCAGGCCCUGGUUCAGGCUGGGCUGGGCCUAGGGCCCGCUGACCGCUGGGGCAGCCUGCAGAGUACUCGAUACCUGCUGCGGGAGGCCAUGGCCCAGGACUCCACUCCUGAGGUGAGCUCCCGGAAGCAUUGGCCCACACGGUACCUUUCAUCCCAGGGUUCCCCACCAGAGACACUGUACUGUGAGGUGGCUCCCAGAGCCAAGACUAUACCCAGGCCUGUGCCCCCUGUGAUGCCCCUAGGCCCCUCCCCAUGCCAGGUAGGAGCCAGAGCAGGGACAUGGAAGACCAAGGGAGCUGUGGGGCACCUGGGCAGGCCCUGCCAGCUCUCUGCCAUGGCUCUUUGCAGGCCCCGGAGACUCCUGAGACCCCAGGCCACAGCAGAGUCCAGAGGGGCACAGCCUGGGACUCAGGCAGCAGCUUGACUCUAGGCAGCCUGAGCCCCAGCCCCAGCUUCUACCCAGGCUUCAGCCCCGCAGCCAGGGUCAGCCUGCACCGCUGCCUGGAGCCCAGCUCAACAGUAUGGAUACCCGCAGGGCCCUGUGCAACCAUUCAUUUGUUAAUCUUUCACCCCUCACCCCAGGUGUCACCAACCCCAAUAUCCCUGGCUGCCUCCCCUUUGAACAGGGACUCACAGGACACCUCAACUUUCCUGUCACUCACCUGUGCCUCCCUGACCAACUCUAUUUCACCCAGGGCCCUGUCCUGUGCUCUAGCCAUCAGGACUCAGCCUCCCUUCUGGGGACCCAGGGCUCUUUGGAGGAGUUUGAGAGGAAGUGCUCAGUCACGAUUCAAGCCCUGCAGGGACUGUGGCGUCACACACACAGGGCUGCCCUGCGGGGCCCCUCUACCGUGUGAGCCUAGCCCCUGCCUGCUGACCCACAAGGAGGCCUCCCAUACCCUGGAGGCUGCUGGCAGGGAAGGCCAUGAGGGCAGGUGAAGCAGAGGACCCUGAGCCUAUCCCCUGCCCCGUGCCACCUUCCCGGGCACCCUCCAUGGCCACUGGGUGGCAGCUCCAGCCUUUUUCCCCUGCAGGUGCCCAGUCCCGAGCUGAUCAAAGGAGAUCUCUUCUCCAGCCUGCAGAAGAUGGACCUGCUGGAGGAGGUCAUAGCAGAGCUGCAAGGUGGAUGCCAACUCAGAGACAAGCCCAGCCUCGACCCCACUCCUGACACACAUUCUUAGGGUGCCCAUGACUGCCUCCCUGAAGAUAUCACUGCUCAGAGCCUCCCAGGAGUGACUCCCCAUUCAGCACUUGCUGAAAUGAUAAAGUGAUAAA